GUGGGAGGGCAUACCACCCUGAAGGGGCCUGAUCUCCUCUGAUCUUGGAAGCUAAGCAGGGUCGGGCCUGGUUAGUACUGGGAUGGGAGUCCACUUUAAUUUUCAAUGAUUUACUAACA
ensembl:rRNA 5S_rRNA 5S ribosomal RNA